AAAUUUUUAGGACAUUGCCUCCUCAACUCCUUAAACCGCUUCCAUGCUUCACAUAGAUUCUCAUUCCCAUAUUGUUGGAAGUUUGAAUGAGCUUUUUCAAUUU